rnacentral:rRNA from 1 species
GAUGAACGCUGGCGGCGUGCCUAAUACAUGCCAGUCGAGCGAACGGACGAGAAGCUUGCUUCUCUGAUGUUAGCGGCGGACGGGUGAGUAACACGUGGAUAACCUACCUAUAAGACUGGGAUAACUUCGGGAAACCGGAGCUAAUACCGGAUAAUAUUUUGAACCGCAUGGUUCAAAAGUGAAAGACGGCCUUGCUGUCACUUAUAGAUGGAUCCGCGCUGCAUUAGCUAGUUGGUAAGGUAACGGCUUACCAAGGCAACGAUGCAUAGCCGACCUGAGAGGGUGAUCGGCCACACUGGAACUGAGACACGGUCCAGACUCCUACGGGAGGCAGCAGUAGGGAAUCUUCCGCAAUGGGCGAAAGCCUGGCGGAGCAACGCCGCGUGAGUGAUGAAGGUCUUCGGAUCGUAAAACUCUGUUAUUAGGGAAGAACAUAUGUGUAAGUAACUGUGCACAUCUUGACGGUACCUAAUCAGAAAGCCACGGCUAACUACGUG